rnacentral:rRNA from 1 species
UAGGGAAUCUUCCGCAAUGGGCGAAAGCCUGACCGAGCAACGCCGCGUGAGUGAUGAAGGUCUUCGGGUCGUAAAACUCUGUUAUUAGGGAAGAACAAAUGUGUAAGUAAAUAUGCACGUCUUGACGGUACCUAAUCAGAAAGCCACGGCUAACUACGUGCCAGCAGCCGCGGUAAUACGUAGGUUGCAAGCGUUAUCCGGAAUUAUUGGGCGUAAAGCGUGCGUAGGCGGUUUUUUAAGUCUGAUGUGAAAGCCCACGGCUCAACCGGGGAGGGUCAUUGGAAACUGGAAAGCUUGAGUGCGGAAGAGGAAAGUGGAAUUCCACGUGUAGCAGUGAAAUGCGCAGAGAUAUGGAGGAACACCGGUGGCGAAGGCGACUUCCUGGUCUGUAACUGACGCUGAUGUGCGAAAGCGUGGGGAUCAAACAGG